CUACGGGAUGCUCCAGUGGGGAAUUUUGCGCAAUGGGGGAAACCCUGACGCAGCAAUACCGCGUGAGUGAAGAGGGCCUUUGGGUCGUAAAGCUCUUUUCUUGGGGAAGAUAGUGACGGUACCCAAGGGAUAAGCACCGGCUAACUCCGUGCCAGCAGCCGCGGUAAUACGGAGGGUGCAAGCGUUGUUCGGAUUUACUGGGCGUAAAGGGCACGUAGGCGGCACAGCAAGUUAAGGGUGAAAUCCCGGGGCUCAACUCCGGAACUGCUCUUAAAACUGCUGAGCUAGAGAUAGUCAGAGGCGGGUGGAAUUCCAGGUGUAGAGGUGAAAUUCGUAGAUAUCUGGAGGAACACCGGUGGCGAAGGCGGCCCGCUGGGGCUAUUCUGACGCUAAGGUGCGAAAGCGUGGGGAGCAAACGGGAUUAGAUACCCUGGUAGUC
rnacentral:rRNA from 1 species